AAAUCACAAAAGUGAAUUUACACGUAAGAAACAAACUGACCGGUUACAAAAUUCAAAUGAAAACUCCAUUUGAAAUCUGAUAUGUAAGAUUCAGAAACCCAGAGAGAGUGACUGAACAGACCCAAGCCCAAGCCGCCUCCCUCCGACAGCCACUGACACGGUGGUCUCCUCCGUGACAUCGCUCGCCGUUCCUUCCUCCUCCCCAUCUCAGGUCCUUUUGGGAGAUUUAGUGCUUAUACAAGGUUCUAUAAUGAAGAAAGAUGGUAGGAGUAGAAUAAAUUGGAUCUUUGAGAACUUUGUUACUUUCCUCCGCAAAUGUACUUUUCGUGUACUCUCUGUUGGUCCCAUUCCUGAACAUAUUGCAUACAUCAUGGAUGGAAAUCGUAGAUAUGCAAAAAAGCAGAAUAUGAUUGAAGGGACUGGACAUAGAGUUGGAUUUUUGGCUCUCAUGUCCAUGCUUAAGUACUGCUAUGAGAUGGGUGUGAGAUAUGUAACAAUUUAUGCCUUCAGCAUUGAUAAUUUCAAACGAUGUCCUGAAGAAGUUCAAUCUUUGAUGGAUCUGAUGCAGGAAAAAAUUGAAGGGUUGAUGGAGGAAGAGAGCAUAGUAAAUCGCUAUGGAGUUAGGGUGCACUUUUUGGGGGACCUAAAAUUGUUGAGUGAACCUGUCAGAUUGGCAGCAGAGAGGGCAAUGGUGGUCACUGCCAAUAACUCCAAGGCGGUCUUGUCAAUAUGUGUUGCCUACAAUUCGACCAAUGAGAUUGUGCAUGCCGUAGAAAAAGCAUGUGAAGAAAAGUGGGAGGAGAUUAGUUUACUGAAUGCAAGUGGAUCUGGGUAUGGCUUAAUAGGACUUGAAUGUAUUGAAAAGCAUGAAAGGGAGAACCUUAUUAAAUUAAUAGAUAUUGAAAAGCAUAUGUAUGUGUCAGUUGCACCUGAUCCUGAUAUCUUAAUCCGUACUUCUGGUGAGACUCGCUUAAGUAAUUUUCUUCUCUGGCAGAGUGCAUACUGUUACUUGUACUCAACACCUGUCCUUUGGCCAGAGAUUGGUUUUCGGCAUCUCCUUUGGGCAAUCUUGAACUUCCAACGGAAUCACUUUUAUUUGGAGAAGAAAAGGAAACAAUUGUAAAUCUUGCAGUGGGUGGUUACCUGCCUUUGGGACAACAAUAUGAUGCUAGGUUACAAGGAGAAAUAUGAAAGGGAACCCUAAUGGAACAAAGUUAACUUCAUUGAAAUUUUCCUGAAGCAGAAGAAUAAAAGAUGCCUUCUUUAGCAGUCUGAACUCCAAAAUAAGUCACAAGCAGACCAAUCUUGAGGGUGUAGCCUUGUGGUUGGAGGCUUGGGAUGAGUUGGAGACCUAAACAUCCUGGGUUUGAUCCAUACUAUGAGUUCUCUUGGAUUACCUAAUACACGGUUCUAGCGGGUGGGGUUGUGCAUCUAUGGUUUACUCUCCUGGGGUGGGUCUAAAGGACCCUGCCUUGGUGAGGUUCCACAUCAUCACCAUAAAAAAUGUUAAUUAAUGUGAAGCAUAAAUUAGUGUUAUCAGAGAUGCGUGGGCAAUAGGUUCCUAGGUGCCAACCUUGGCAAGUCUACUUUUAUAGUGUGGGGAUGUUUUGGACUUUUUGGACUCCCAACUAGGUAAUAAUGCUCAUGCAAAAUACUAGUGAGAUGCAUACUUGUAACUAUUUUGACGAUGUUAAUCAUUUUGUAUCUAUAGAUUAGACAUUUUUAAGUUUUACUUGUAAUUGCAUGUUACACUGAAAAGGUGGAUUCCGUCUCCAAGAUGAAACUCUUGUUCUUAGAGCAUAAUUUGCAAAGCUAUUGUUUGUCUUUUUUGUCGGUCAGCCUUGAUUAGUUUGUUGUUGAGGAUACAUAACUGGCCCAAAAAUAUUGGUAGUAAAGCUUGGUAGUUUUUUUCUUUUUUCUUUUUUGAGAAGACUAAAGCUUGGUAGUUGUAGAUGACAAAUUAAAUGUGUUUUCACUUGAAUAAUGAUGUAUAUAGUUUGUUGAGAUUCUUUUCGCAAUAAAUAGAUGCUAGUUAAUUAAUGUGAAGAGUAAAUUGUUUUUGUCAAAGAUGCUUGCCAUAGGAAUCUAGGUGCUGACCUUGGCAAGAUAUACUUUUGUAGUGUGGGGAUGAUGUGGAGUUUUUGGACUCCCAACUAGGUAAUAACUAUCAUGCUAAACACUGCCAGCGAUGUUAA